rnacentral:misc_RNA from 1 species
UCCGGUUUGUCACCGGCAGUCUCAUUAGAGUGCCCAACUAAAUGUAGCAACUAAUGACAAGGGUUGCGCUCGUUGCGGGACCUAACCCAACAUCUCACGACACGAGCUGACGACAGCCAUGCAGCAUCUGUGGUGCACCCUCGAAGGUCACACGUUUCCGUGCGCUUGCAGCACCAUGUCAAGUCCAGGUAAGGUUCUUCGCGUUGCAUCGAAUUAAAGAACAUGCUCCGCUGCUUGUGCGGGCCCCCGCCAAUUCCUUUGAGUUUUAGCCUUGCGGCCGUACUCCCCAGGCGGGGCGCUUAAUGCGUUAGCUUCGGCACAGGGGGAGUCGACACCCCCUACACCUAGCGCCCAUCGUUUACGGCGUGGACUAC